UGCAAGUCGCGUGCGCAGUUGCCGUAGCAAUACGGUGAUGGGCGCACGGCGCACGGGUGCGUAACACGUGGGCAAUCUGCCCUCUGAUGGGGAAUAACCCGCCGAAAGGCGGGCUAAUUCCGCAUAAGAUUCUUUGGACUUCGGUCCGAAGAUUGAAAGCAGUAAUGCGUCGGAGGAGGAGCCCGCGCCCGAUUAGCUAGUUGGUGAGGUAACGGCUCACCAAGGCAAUGAUCGGUAGCUGGUCUGAGAGGAUGAUCAGCCACACUGGAACUGAGACACGGUCCAGACUCCUACGGGAGGCAGCAGUGGGGAAUCUUGCACAAUGGGCGAAAGCCUGAUGCAGCGACGCCGCGUGGGGGAUGAAGCAUUUCGGUGUGUAAACCCCUUUCGACUGGGAAGAAUACCUCGCAAGAGGGGUGACGGUACCAGUAGAAGAAGCCCCGGCUAACUACGUGCCAGCAGCCGCGGUAAGACGUAGGGGGCCAGCGUUGUUCGGAAUUACUGGGUGUAAAGGGUUCGUAGGCGGUGCGGCAAGUUGGGAGUGAAAUCUCUGGGCUUAACCCAGAGGCUGCUUCCAAAACUGCUGUGCUCGAGUGUGAGAGAGGCGCGUGGAAUUGCAGGUGUAGCGGUGAAAUGCGUAGAUAUCUGCAGGAACACCCGUGGCGAAAGCGGCGCGCUGGAUCACUACUGACGCUGAGGAACGAAAGCUAGGGGAGCAAACAGGAUUAGAUACCCUGGUAGUCCUAGCCCUAAACGAUCAGGACUUGGGGUGCCGCCCGUUCGGGCGUCGUCCCGGAGCUAACGCGUUAAGUCCUGCACCUGGGGAGUACGGUCGCAAGACUGAAACUCAAAGGAAUUGACGGGGGCCCGCACAAGCGGGGAACAUGUGGUUCAAUUCGACGCUAC
rnacentral:rRNA from 1 species